AUAUAUUUUUCAGUUAAAUAAUCUGGUGUUUGUUGUUAAUCUUGUACGGUAUUAGCUGGCCAUGAUUUUUUUCUUCCUAUGAAGUUAAGAUGUUUGUGUUGUUUAUUGCAUCAACAAAAUGAUUUAGUUUCUUCAAAAUAUUCUGUUGCUUCUACCCUCCUUCCUCCUUCCUCCUUAUUCUGAUAAUUCUUAUUAAAUACUCUGCAGUAGAGGUACAAAUUUCAACAUCCACAGCCAAAGAGACCAAAGUCACUGAGAAUAUAUGAAUGUCAUACUGGAAUAAGUAGUUCGGAUGAAUCUGAUGAAAUGUUAAGCUGAGGUUUCAAGGAUCAAUUUAUGAUGACUAUAUAUAUCUUCCACCAGAGCUUGAGGCCAGGUUAUCACUAU